rnacentral:rRNA from 1 species
UGGCUAGGACGAACGCUGGCGGCGUGCCUAACCAACAUGCAAGUCGAACGGGGGAUUUGUUUCGGCAGGAAUCCUAGUGGCGAACGGGUGAGUAACGCGUAGGCAACCUGCCCUCCGGCCGGGGGACAACACUCCGAAAGGGGUGCUAAUACCGGAUACGAAGUCUGUGCCGCAUGGUACGGAUUUGAAAGAUGGCCUCUAUUUAUAAGCUAUCGCCGGGGGAUGGGCCUGCGUCCGAUUAGCUGGUUGGUGGGGUAACGGCCUACCAAGGCGACGAUCGGUAGCCGGUCUGAGAGGAUGAACGGCCACAUUGGGACUGAGACACGGCCCAGACUCCUACGGGAGGCAGCAGUGGGGAAUCUUCCGCAAUGGGCGCAAGCCUGACGGAGCAACGCCGCCGUGAGUGAGGAAGUUUUUCGGAACGUAAAGCUCUGUUGUUCCUGACGAACCUCCCUUCUAUCAACAACGGAAGGGACUGACGGUAGGGAACGAGGAAGCCACGGCUAACUACGUGCCAGCCGCGGC